rnacentral:rRNA from 1 species
UUAAAAUGAGAGUUUGAUCCUGGCUCAGGACGAACGCUGGCGGCGUGCCUAAUACAUGCAAGUCGAACGAAACUUUCUUACACCGAAUGCUUGCAUUCAUCGUAAGAAGUUGAGUGGCGGACGGGUGAGUAACACGUGGGUAACCUGCCUAAAAGAAGGGGAUAACACUUGGAAAUAGGUGCUAAUACCGUAUAUCUCUAAAGAUCGCAUGAUCUUUAGAUGAAAGAUGGUUCUGCUAUCGCUUUUAGAUGGACCCGCGGCGUAUUAACUAGUUGGUG